rnacentral:rRNA from 1 species
ACGGGUGAGUAACGCGUGGGAACGUGCCCUCUGGUUCGGAAUAACUCAGGGAAACUUGAGCUAAUACCGGAUACGCCCUUUUGGGGAAAGGCUUGCUGCCGGAGGAUCGGCCCGCGUCUGAUUAGCUAGUUGGUGAGGUAACGGCUCACCAAGGCGACGAUCAGUAGCUGGUCUGAGAGGAUGAUCAGCCACACUGGGACUGAGACACGGCCCAGACUCCUACGGGAGGCAGCAGUGGGGAAUAUUGGACAAUGGGCGCAAGCCUGAUCCAGCCAUGCCGCGUGAGUGAUGAAGGCCUUAGGGUUGUAAAGCUCUUUUAUCCGGGACGAUAAUGACGGUACCGGAGGUAUAAGCCCCGGCUAACUUCGUGCCAGCAGCCGCGGUAAUACGAAGGGGGCUAGCGUUGCUCGGAAUCACUGGGCGUAAAGGGCGCGUAGGCGGCGUUUUAAGUCGGGGGUGAAAGCCUGUGGCUCAACCACAGAAUGGCCUUCGAUACUGGGACGCUUGAGUAUGGUAGAGGUUGGUGGAACUGCGAGUGUAGAGGUGAAAUUCGUAGA